AAGUCGAACGAGAAAUUCCGAUUCGUCGGGAGAGUAAAGUGGCGAAUGGGUGAGUAAGGCGAGGGUAAUCUACCCUUGAAUUAGGGAUAACUUUGCGAAAGCGAAGCUAAUACCUAAUAAGACUACAGUCUCUUAGGAGACAGUAGGAAAAGAUGGCCUCUGUUUCAAGCUAUUGUUUAAGGAUGAGCCCUUGUACUAUUAGCUAGUUGGUGAGGUAAUGGCUCACCAAGGCGAAGAUGGUUAGCUGGUCUGAGAGGAUGAUCAGCCACACUGGAACUGAGACACGGUCCAGACUCCUACGGGAGGCAGCAGUGAGGAAUAUUGCGCAAUGGGGGAAACCCUGACGCAGUGACGCCGCGUGAGUGAUGAAGGCUUUCGAGUCGUAAAGCUCUGUGAGGUGGAAAGAAAUGUUCCAGUGCUAAUAUUACUGGAACUUGACGGUACCACCAGAGGAAGCACCGGCUAACUCCGUGCCAGCAGCCGCGGUAAUACGGAGGGUGCAAGCGUUGUUCGGAAU
rnacentral:rRNA from 1 species